rnacentral:lncRNA from 1 species
AGCAUAAUGUAGUAACAUCCCCCGUUUGUAGAAGGGAAGCUGAAGACCACAGCCUGCUGAUAGCUUUAUGCAGGCUGAGAAAGAAGGUGUGGGGACGUGGGCUGUCAUGUGAGUUGGAUGGUCUUGUUUGGCAUACUUUAAUAGCAUUUGAGUUUGUCACACUGAAUGUGUUUUGGGAACACCUGUUAGUUACCGAGAAAACGAAUCACAAAGGUACACAUUUUAAAGAGGGACACUCUUGUGGGCCGGGCCUGCGGGCUGGGGCUUUCCUGACACCGGCCAGGUGCCUGGUAGUUCGCAGGAAUUCAGCCAAUUCAAUCAUGUCCCUGUUUCUGUGUCACUGGUCCUUGGAAACCGCUCUGUUGAUGUGGUUAGAAGGAACAAUCCGAUGCAAAUGCUGUCUCCAGUUUCUGUUCUCUGCUAAAUCAGAUUUUAUAGUAUGGAACAUGAGAUUUUGAUGGCAUUUGCAAAGGGCUUCUCACUUGCUAAUUCACCAUCACCCGGGGGCGGGAAGGAAGGAGAAGUCGAAAUCGAGCUCUGUGUCAUGUGUGUCUUUGAUUUGCCAGAUCCUGGGGCACGGAGGCCUGUGCGUAUGGCACAUUUGUCCAACUGUCCAUCCCCAGCUGUAUAUUGAAAUUACUUUUAAAUUUUUUAAUUAAAUUUUGUGUUACUUGCUAAAUUAACUGCAUGUUCAAAGGUGAAAUUAGCCAGUAAAUCUUUGGAGACUGUAAGAGGAUUUUUAGCUAGAGUCCUUUCAGGCUUCUUGAAGCUCAAGCCUGUGAGCUGGUUAUUUUUGGUUUUGGUUUUUGUCUUUUUACGGCCGCAUCCGUGGCAUAUGGAGGUUCCCAGGCUAGGGGUCCAAUUGGAGCUACAGCUGCCAGCCUACACCACAGCCACAGCAACGCCAGAUCCAAGCUGCGUCUGUGAUCUACACCACGGCUCACAGCAACGCUGGAUCCUUAACCCAUAGUGCAAGGCCAGGGCUUGAACCUGCAGCCUCACGGGUACUAGUCAGAUUCGUGUCCAUGGAUCCCCGAUGGGAACUCCUGGACCCUGUGUUAAGAGCAGAGUUCCUCACCUGAUGCAGUGUCCACUCCAACCCCACCCCUCUCCAGGCCAGACUUGCCUGCCCAUUCCCACCGCCCCGGGAGUAUGGCCAGGGCCUGGGAGCUGUGUGGGUGUUUGAUUCUGGGCCCCAGGGCUUCUUGGCCAGCAUGGACCUCAGUCGCUAUAGCAAGUGUUUCUCUGUCCACUGACUGCCCACACUUCCAGAGCAGAUCUGGCUGUCAAACUGACCUGGGUUCAAGUUCAGGUUUUGCAGUACCCUAACUUGAAGAUGGUGGCCUUUUGCCAGUCACUUAACUUCACUGAGCCUUGGUGUCUUGUCUGUAAUGAGGGUGCAAAUACCUUUCUCUUAGUGGUUUAUCUAUUGUAUGUCUUGUUUCAAAGAACCUUUUUUUUUUUUUUUUUUUGUCUUUUUGCUAUUUCUUGGGCCGCUCCCGUGGCAUAUGGAGGUUCCCAGGCUAGGGGUCCAAUCGGAGCGGCAGCCACUGGCCUACGCCAGAGCCACAGCAACGUGGGAUCCGAGCCGCGUCUGCAACCUACACCACAGCUCAUGGCAAUGCCGGAUCGUUAACCCACUGAGCAAGGGCAGGGAUCGAACCCGCAACCUCAUGGUUCCUAGUCGGAUUCGUUAACCACUGCGCCACGACGGGAACUCCCAAAGAACCAUUUUAAAAUUC